UACGGAGGGGGCAAGCGUUAUCCGGAUUCACUGGGCUUAAAGGGUGUGUAGGCGGGCUAUUAAGUCAGCGGUGAAAUCUCCGGGCUCAACCCGGAAACUGCCAUUGAUACUAUUAGUCUUGAAUAUCGUUGAGGUUGGCGGAAUAUAUCAUGUAGCGGUGAAAUGCAUAGAUAUGAUAUAGAACACCGAUUGCGAAGGCAGCUAACUAAGCGAUGAUUGACGCUGAGGCACGAAAGCGUGGGGAUCAAACAGG
rnacentral:rRNA from 1 species